rnacentral:rRNA from 1 species
AUGAACGCUGGCGGCAUGCCUAACACAUGCAAGUCGAUCGGUAAGGCUCUUCGGAGUACACGAGAGGCGGACGGCUGAGUAACGCGUAGGAACACACCCUGCAGUGAGGGAUAAGACACCGAAAGGUGUUCUAAUACCGCAUACGGUCUUCGGAUUAAAGCAUUUAUGCGCUGAAGGAGUGGCCUGCGUCAUAUUAGAUAGUUGGUGAGGUAAUGGCUCACCAAGUCGAUGAUGUGUAGCUGGUCUGAGAGGAUGAUCAGCCAGACUGGAACUGAGACACGGUCCAGACUCCUACGGGAGGCAGCAGUGAGGAAUAUUUCACAAUGAGCGAAAGCUUGAUGGAGCAAUGCCGCGUGCAGGAUGAAGGCCCUCGGGUUGUAAACUGCUUUUAUAAGAGAAGAUUAUGACGGUAACUUAUGAAUAAGAGACGGCUAACUACGUG